ACAAAAUGUAGCUUAACACAAAGCACCUCGCUUACACCGAAGAUACGUCUAUUUGACCUAGACCGUUUUGA
rnacentral:tRNA from 1 species